rfam:Arthroderma gypseum CBS 118893 supercont1.19 mitochondrial scaffold, whole genome shotgun sequence.
UAUAAAGUAUGUAAAGAAACUAUUAAGGAUAAUUAGCUAUAUAUUAAAGAUAAUUAUAAAUCUAAAAUCUAAGAUAAAUUAAUUAAAUAAACAAAGUGAACUGAAGUAUCUUAGUAACUUUAGGAAAAGAAAUCAAACGAGAUUUUAUUAAAAAUUCUUUUAAUAAAUAAGCUUAUAAGUAAAACGAAAAAAAUUUGUUUGAAAAAAGGGGAACCUUCCUCUAAAGCUAAAUAUAAUAUAUAAGCGAUAGUGAAAAGUACCGUGAGGGAAAAUUUGAAUUAGUAGUUUUAUAAGCAGCUCGAAAAAAAGAGUGUACCUUUUGCAUAAUGGGUCAGCAAGUUAUGUUUAGAAGCGAGCAAUUAAAUAUUGCCCAGUUAAACCAAUUAUGAAAAAAUAAUAAAGUUUCUAAGCAUAGACCCGAAAGCUAGUGAUCUUACCAUGGUCAGGGUAAUAAAGCCCGAACGAGUUAUCGUUGUAAAGAUAUUCGAUGAACUGUGGUAAGUUGGUGAAAGAUAAAACUGACUAGUAUAGCUGGUUUUCCGCGAAACCUAUUUAAGUAGGUAAUUUAACUAACAUCUUAGCAGGUACAGAACUGUGAUCUCGGGCAAAAAUUUAUUUUUGUAAAUAUCGGGGGAUCGUAUAGAUUUUAUCGGAGAGUAUUUGCACUCGGAAUGGCAAAGAUGAAUGUUGAAUAAUCAGACAUAGUGCGAUAAGGUUGUAUGUCUAAAGGGAAACAGCCCAGAACAAGAGUAAUAAGGUUCCAAAAUUAUUAUUGAGUGAAAUUAAGGAUGUUUUUAUCAAAUACAAUCAGGAAAUAGGCUUAGAAGCUGCCAUUUUUUGAAGAUCUCGUAACAGAGCACUGAUAAAAUAUUUUAGAUAUUAAUACCGAAAAUAUAACGGAUCUAAAUAAUAUACCGAAACCUUGUACGUAUAAUAAUACGGGGUAGCGGAACAUUGGAUAAAUCUCAGAUUUUAACUUUUUUAAGUUAAAAAAAUAAUAGAUAAUCCAAGAGAGAAUGCUGACAUGAGUAACGAAAAAGGAAAACUAAUAGAAAAUUUAGAUUUAUUUCUAUAAUGAGUAAUUAGACUUUAUUUUCCUCGCCUUAAGCUUAUGGUUUAUUUUAAAUUUCGGUAUCUAAGUAUAUACCCAAAGGGUCUGUAUGAUGAUAAUAAUAAUUAUUUUUUGUAAACAAAACCUUUAUUUAGUGAUAAAGGUUCAGGAAAUUGUAACAAAAAUCUAAAAAAUUAAAAAUAAUUAUAAACCGUACCUAAAUACUAUCGCAAGUAAGCAAGUAGAGUAUACAAAGGCGUUUGAGUGAACAAUCAUUAAGGAACUCGGCAAAUUAACUACCGUAACUUCGGGAUAAGGAGGACCAUUAUUAUAGAUACAUAUGUAUCGAAAUAGUAAAAGGAAUCAUAAAAUAGUGUUGUACGACUGUUUAAUUAAAACAAAGCACUCUGCCAAGAUAGAAAUCUAAGUAUUGAGUGUGAUGUCUGCCCGAUGUCGGUAGGGUAACAGAUUUACUUAAUUAUUUAAUUAGGUUUUGAUGGACACCCCGAUUAAUGGCGGCCUUAUCUAUAAGGGUCCUAAGGUAGCGGAAUACCUUGGCCGUUAAAUGCGGUCUUUGCAUGAAUGACUUAACGAUACAACAGCUGUCUCGAUGAUUGGCUCAGUGAAAUUGAAUUAGCAGUGCAGAUGCUGCUUACCUCUAGAUAGACAAGAAGACCCUUUGCAGCUUUACUGUUACCUAUUAUGAUAUAAUUUGAUAAUUUCCAGUGUAUAAGGUAAUAGUUAUGAAAUUGAAACACCUUUAUUUGUUCUAUUAUAUUUUUUAUGAUAGGAAGGCAGUUUAUGCGGGGCACAGAUCCCAUAAAAAGUACCUGGGUAUAUCCAAAGUUCAUAUUGUAAUUUUGUAGAUUUUUAUUUACAAAAAUUCAUUAAAUAUUUUUAUUUUUUGAGUUUUUUAUUUAAUUUGUAAUUAAUUAUUAUUAAUUAUCCAGUUAUUGUUUAUAUUAAGUUAGUUAUUUUUAAUUUUUUUAAGUAAGAUUUUAACUAUAUGGUAAAUAGAUGUAAAUUAAAUUAUAAUAUAAUUAUAUUAUUAUUUAGUCAUAUUAAUAGAGAAAAUUUACUUAUUAAUAUGAUAUUUUUUUACUUUAAAAGUUUAAUGGCUUAAUCUUGCUUUACUGUUUGACUUACAAGUCUAUCAGUCGCGUAAGCGGGGCAUAUGAUCACAAGAUUCAUAAAGGAAAGGUCUUGGAUUUAUGAAAAAGUUACGCUAGGGAUUACUUGUUAGUCCUCCAAUAUUUUAAAAUAUUGGUAAUAAUUUGGGUUAAUUUCAAGAAUAACUUUAUUUG